rnacentral:lncRNA from 1 species
AGGGCCCGUGCAUUGCACCGGGAGAACGAAAUCACAUGCCCUUAGCCCAAUAAGAAUCAAUCUUAGGAAUAGUCAUGUAAUAAGAGUUAAUCGGUACACCCACCACAACUUCUGAUCAUGGCGUUUUAAACAUAGUGGUACACUUAAUUCAGAAGCCGCAACAACUACCAAGAAGGCAACCAGCUCGUAUGAGGUCUUCCACUGUGUUACAACUGCCAAAUUGUCUAAAAGGUUGCCACAUCACCACCGAUGCCAAAUGAAAAAGUUAUUACACCAGCUUCACAUCAUAUGGCACCGCCCAGUCUGAAAGAAGGAACCCAUGUUUAGAUAAAACGCUAUAUAAAAUCAUCACUGGAGCAUCUCGAGCGAGUUCUUCGUCUGCCGAAAAUUCACUUUGUUCUCCAAAUCAAUUCUUUCUGUGGCUGAAACCACCACCCCAUCAUAUUUUUAUGUUUAGUUUAGCACACAUAGUUUAGUAGUACAACAUAGAGAAAAGCACAAAUGUAUUUAGAACUGAAAGUAAAUAUAAGAAGCAUGACCAUAUUGUUGGAGAUUAUUAAUACAAGUCCUAUAGAAAAUAGAAGUGUUGAAGCAGUCUGUACACAAAGUUGCAAACCCAUCCGGAUGAAGUAGUCUAUAAGUAGUUACUUAUUGUACCGAGCUGAUGUCAAAACUAAAACCAGAGCAGACACACAAUUUCUCUCUCAAAAGAAAAAAAAUAUCAUUAUUAUAGCCGACUACAUGAAUUUAUAAAAAGAAAAGAGAAAAGAAAAUCAAGUUACAGGUGAAUAAAUUACAACUACAGAUUUAACAGUACCUACACUGCGUGUAAGGUCAAAUUGAUUCAAUUGAUACUAACAUUCAACAUUUCUUAUGAUAAUGUCUAACGCUUAUAGUCUGAAAGCUGAAAAAUUCUUUGCAGAUUGUUUUAUUUUUUGGAGCUUAUACAUGUAUGGGUGGGUGCCUCAGUUCAGGAUUUAACUAAGUAAACAUCUUAAUGUUGAAACUUUUGGUGAAAUCUUAUCACAAAGAGGAAUACUUAUGCAAAUUUCAUCAGUGUAAAGUGCCUUAUUGCUGGCCUUUCCGCUAUGAUUGCAAGAAUCAAUUUGCACCAAAAAGAAACCCCCAGAGACAUGUGUAUUUAGACGAUGCUAAUGUGCACUGUAUAAUGGUAGAAUAAAAAUCAUCUCAAAAUUAGGUUCAACAAUACAUUAAUUAGGUUUCUUUUAGGAGCAAUUACCUACUCACGUCCAUGUUCACAGUAGUGGAAAAAGGAAUAUAAUUUCUACUAAAGCAAACUACUUUGCUUCCUGUACUAACCUUGGGCAUUGCUCGAAUGUUUUAGCGUCUGCUUGUGUCAUUCUUAGUUG